rnacentral:tRNA from 2 species
GGGGAUGUAGCUCAGUUGGCUAGAGCACUUGCAUGGCAUGCAAGGGGUCGUGGGUUCGAGUCCCAUCUUCUCCA